CCUACGGGCGGCAGCAGUGAGGAAUAUUGGUCAAUGGCCGAGAGGCUGAACCAGCCAAGUCGCGUGAGGGAUGACGGCCCUACGGGUUGUAAACCUCUUUUGUCGGGGAGCAAAGAGAGUCACGUGUGGCUCAUUGCGAGUACCCGAAGAAAAAGCAUCGGCAAACUCGGUGCCAGCAGCCGCGGUAAUACGGAGGAUGCGAGCGUUAUCCGGAUUGAUUGGGGUAAACGGGGGCGCAGGCGCAGGUGCAAGUCAGUGGUCAAAUGGCGGGGCUCAACCCCGUACUGCAGUUGAAACUGCAUCCCUUGAGUGCGCGAGAGGUAGGCGGAAUGCGUGGUGUAGCGGUGAAAUGCGUAGAGAUCACGCAGAACUCCGAUUGCGAAGGCAGCAUACCGGCGGGCAACUGACGCUCAUGCACGAAAGCGUGGGUAUCGAACAGGAUUAGAUACCCGGGUAGUC
rnacentral:rRNA from 1 species